rnacentral:rRNA from 1 species
UGAGGAAUAUUGGUCAAUGGGCGAGAGCCUGAACCAGCCAAGUAGCGUGCAGGAUGACGGCCCUAUGGGUUGUAAACUGCUUGUAUGUGGGGAUAAAGUGCGUGACGUGUCAUGCAUUGCAGGUACCACAUGAAUAAGGACCGGCUAAUUCCGUGCCAGCAGCCGCGGUAAUACGGAAGGUCCGGGCGUUAUCCGGAUUUAGUGGGUUUAAAGGGAGCGUAGGCUGUCUAUUAAGCGUGUUGUGAAAUUUACCGGCUCAACCGGUGGCUUGCAGCGCGAACUGGUCGACUUGAGUAUGCAGGAAGUAGGCGGAAUUCAUGGUGUAGCGGUGAAAUGCUUAGAUAUCAUGACGAACUCCGAUUGCGCAGGCAGCUUACUGUAGCAUAACUGACGCUGAUGUUCGAAAGUGCGGGUAUCAAACAGG